rnacentral:misc_RNA from 1 species
GCAAACUUGGUCAUUUAGAGGAAGUAAAAGUCGUAACAAGGUUUCCGUAGGUGAACCUGCGGAAGGAUCAUUACCGAGUGAGGGCCCUCUGGGUCCAACCUCCCACCCGUAUUUAAUUGUACCUUGUUGCUUCGGCAGGCCCGCCUCACGGCUGCCGGGGGGCUCUCUGCCCCCGGGCCUGUGCCCGCCGAAGAUAUCUGUGAACGCUGUCUGAAGUUGCAGUCUGAGAAACUAGCUAAAUUAGUUAAAACUUUCAACAACGGAUCUCUUGGUUCCGGCAUCGAUGAAGAACGCAGC